rnacentral:misc_RNA from 1 species
GUAGGUGAACCUGCGGAAGGAUCAUUACAAAUCCAACGCGUGGCCAUACAUGUGGGCGGCGGCGGCCCUCUUAACCGGGGGUGGUCGUCGUCCGCCGCUGUAUGUGCUGCCUUCCAACACCACGUUGAAAUGUGUUCUUGGCAUCAAGAUCCUAGCAGGUCUUGUGUGUCAAUUAUCAAUCGUUUAAUUAUGUUGCUUCAAGUGUGAAGAUAGGAGGACGCGUCUGCCUUGCAAGAGGUAGUAGUGUCAA